GGUCAUUUUCAGAAGCUUCAGCCUUCAUCUCUUUUUCUUUCUCUGUGUUGCGACAACAACAACUAUGCGGUUUAAUUUUUUUGGGGCGAGUUAGUGAAGUAGAGAAAUAUUCUUGGCUAGAUGUAGAAGCUUGCAUCGAGAUGGAAUCCUUUUUCAAUUAAAAGUGGCGAUAACUUUUACGGAAGUUUAAGCAUUACUUUGAAGUUUAAACUUAGGAUUGAAAAUCCUCAAAGAUUAAAUCUUUGGAGUCAUUUGGAAUCCGCAAAUCUACUUUAUGUAUGAAGUCCUCGAGAGUUCCUAUUGUAAGAUAAAGGGGCAGCCCGUUGUAUAUUGCGGAAUCAAAAAUUGAGGAUCAGAUACAUCGAUGAGCAGAUUUCUAUACUAGGCACUUGUCCGUAUUCAGCAAAGCAGUCGAAGAAACCAAACAUGUAUAUUUACAAGAAAAGAAAAGAGACUGAAAUGGAAGGACAGUGAAAAAUUACAAGGCUAGAGAAUGAGUUGGCUCUAAUAUGCUAGCAGAUGAAUUACAUAUCCUUCCUUUAGCAUUUAAAAAUAAAUUUGUCAGGUGUUCUGGCAAUUGAUGUUUCUUUUCAAAUUUCAACUCAAUAAUCUUACAACUAUGAAAGGCUUAAAGGAUAUAUUCUUACAAACAAAUUGAGCAUAAAUGAAUUGCAAAGCGGACAAAGAGUAUUGUUUUAGCAACUACUUGCAACAGGAACAGUGACUAUGCCUCGAUUUCAAAAUUUUAUUUGGACGCAUAAGGGAGUUUCAACAGACUCCAGUUUAAUUUUAUAGUGAUAGCGUUCAAGUAGACAAUGUUGUAUCAGGCUGCCUUCACUUGGGAAUCUGAAACAAAAGCUCCAAAAAGUUAACUUUACAAUAGUUGUAGAAUAUACAAACUUACUUUAUUUUAUGAUUGUUUCUGAUAUAUUCUCGACUCUAGCCAAGUGCUAUGAAAUGGGGGUCUUUCCUUAUCAUGUGUAUCUGCUUGACUUUGUCCCGAAUCAAAGAGACAGCC